UGUGACCUCAAAUCAGGUAGGACUACCCGCUGAACUUAAGCAUAUCAAUAAGCGGAGGAAAAGAAACUAACAAGGAUUCCCCUAGUAACUGCGAGUGAAGCGGGAAAAGCUCAAAUUUAAAAUCUGGCAGUCUUUGACUGUCCGAGUUGUAAUCUAGAGAAGUGUUAUCCGCGCUGGACCGUGUACAAGUCUCCUGGAAUGGAGCGUCAUAGAGGGUGAGAAUCCCGUCUUUGACACGGACUACCAGGGCUUUGUGAUGCGCUCUCAAAGAGUCGAGUUGUUUGGGAAUGCAGCUCAAAAUGGGUGGUAAAUUCCAUCUAAAGCUAAAUAUUGGCGAGAGACCGAUAGCGAACAAGUACCGUGAGGGAAAGAUGAAAAGAACUUUGGAAAGAGAGUUAAACAGUACGUGAAAUUGCUGAAAGGGAAACGCUUGAAGUCAGUCGCGUCGUCCAGGGAUCAACCUUGCUUUUGCUUGGUGCACUUUCUGGUUGACGGGUCAGCAUCAAUUUUGACCAUUGGAAAAAGAUUAAGGGAAUGUGACAUCUUUGGAUGUGUUAUAGCCCUUGGUUGUAUACGAUGGUUGGGAUUGAGGAACUCAGCACGCCGCAAGGCCGGGUUUUUAACCACGUACGUGCUUAGGAUGUUGGCAUAAUGGCUUUAAUCGACCCGUCUUGAAACACGGACCAAGGAGUCUAACAUGCCUGCGAGUGUUUGGGUGGAAAACCCGAGCGCGUAAUGAAAGUGAAAGUUGAGAUCCCUGUCGUGGGGAGCAUCGACGCCCGGACCAGACCUUUUGUGACGGUUCCGCGGUAGAGCAUGUAUGUUGGGACCCGAAAGAUGGUGAACUAUGCCUGAAUAGGGUGAAGCCAGAGGAAACUCUGGUGGAGGCUCGUAGCGAUUCUGACGUGCAAAUCGAUCGUCAAAUUUGGGUAUAGGGGCGAAA
rnacentral:rRNA from 1 species